AGUGAACGCUGGCGGUAUGCCUAACACAUGCAAGUCGAACGGCAGCACAGUAAGAGCUCGCUCUUACGGGUGGCGAGUGGCGGGCGGGUGAGGCAUACAUCGGAAUCUUCUUUUUCGUGGGGGAUAACGUAGGGACACUUACGCUAAUACCGCAUACGAUCUACGGGUUAAAUCAGGAGUGCUUCGCACCUUGCGCGACUGAAUGAGCCGAUGUCGGAUUAGCUAGUUGGCGGGGUAAAGGCCCACCAAGGCGACGAUCCGUAGCAGGUCUGAGAGGAUGAUCAGCCACACUGGAACUGAGACACGGUCCAGACUCCUACGGGAGGCAGCAGUGGGGAAUAUUGGACAAUGGGCGCAAGCCUGAUGCAGCCAUACCGCGUGGGUGAAGAAGGCCUUCGGGUCGUAAAGCCCUUUUAUUGGGAAAGAAAAGCAGCAGGUUAAUACCCCGCUGUUCUGACGGUACCCAAAGAAAAAGCAACGGCUAACUUCGUG
rnacentral:rRNA from 1 species